rnacentral:rRNA from 1 species
CCUACGGGGGGCAGCAGUGGGGAAUAUUGGACAAUGGGGGCAACCCUGAUCCAGCCAUGCCGCGGGUGUGAAGAAGGCCCUCGGGUUGUAAAGCACUUUCAGUGAGGAAGAACGCCUGGUGGUUAAUACCCAUCAGGAAAGACAUCACUCACAGAAGAAGCACCGGCUAACUCCGUGCCAGCAGCCGCGGUAAUACGGAGGGUGCGAGCGUUAAUCGGAAUUACUGGGCGUAAAGCGCGCGUAGGUGGCUUGAUAAGCCGGUUGUGAAAGCCCCGGGCUCAACCUGGGAACGGCAUCCGGAACUGUCAAGCUAGAGUGCAGGAGAGGAAGGUAGAAUUCCCGGUGUAGCGGUGAAAUGCGUAGAGAUCGGGAGGAAUACCAGUGGCGAAGGCGGCCUUCUGGACUGACACUGACACUGAGGUGCGAAAGCGUGGGUAGCAAACAGGAUUAGAUACCCUGGUAGUC